AGGGUGUAAACGCUGCAGACUUGGUGUUGGGAACCCUUCGGGGGUGCUCAGUGCCGGAGAGAAGUUGUUAAGUCUGCUACUUGGGGAGUACGUCCGCAAGGAUGAAACUUAAAGGAAUUGGGCGGGGGAGCACCGCAACGGGAGGAGCGUGCGGUUUAAUUGGAUUCAACGCCGAAAAACUCACCAGCAGCGACUGUUACAUGAAGGCCGAGAUGAAGACUCUGCUAGAUUUUCAGAGAGGUGGUGCAUGGCGUCAGUGACU
rnacentral:rRNA from 1 species